rnacentral:ncRNA from 2 species
UCUAUAUUUGCCAUGUUUUGUUUCGCGAUUAUCCAACAGCGAUAGAACGAAUGAAAAGGGAAUCGGGUGAAAGUCCCGAACAGUCCCGCUGCUGUAAGCUCAUAUAAAGGUUGCUUCAUACUCAAGCCACUGUCCCGAUAAAGGACGGGAAGGCAAGCCAACCGGAGUAAGUCAGAAGACCUGCAAAACAAAAGUCAUGCUU